GGAUUUGAGAGCAAUAUUGCUGUGACAUCCAUCACCCCAUUGAUUACCAGUGUUGAUUUGGCUGAUCUUGCUGGCUAGGCAGGUGUCCCCUUCCUCCCUCAUCAAUCCAUGUGUGUCCCUGUUGAAACUGCACACUUGGCCAAAGAGGAUGGCUUUCCUCAAAUAGAGAUGGACCUGUCUUCGGUCAAGGGUAUACAAGUAGCUGCAUUCCCUUGCUAGAACCUCCAAACAAGCUCUCAAAAUAUGCUUCUAUUUAUAACUUCUUGAGAAAAUUACUGUUCUCUCCAUUGUAAAAAGGUACCUAAGAUAGAUUGUCCUUCAAU
rnacentral:snRNA from 1 species